rnacentral:rRNA from 1 species
GUCCACGCCCUAAACGAUGAACACUCGCUGUUGGCGAUACACAGUCAGCGGCUAAGCGAAGCGUUAAGUGUUCCACCUGGGGAGUACGCUCGCAAGAGUGAAACUCAAAGGAAUUGACGGGGCCCGGCACAAGCGGAGGAGCAUGUGGUUUAAUUCGAUGAUACGCGAGGAACCUUACCCGGGCUUGAAAGUUAGUGAAUGAUCUAGAGAUAGAUCAGUCCGCAAGGACACGAAACUAGGUGCUGCAUGGCUGUCGU